UACGUAGGGUGCAAGCGUUAAUCGGAAUUACUGGGCGUAAAGCGUGCGCAGGCGGUUUUGUAAGUCUGACGUGAAAUCCCCGGGCUCAACCUGGGAAUUGCGUUGGAGACUGCAAGGCUAGAAUCUGGCAGAGGGGGGUAGAAUUCCACGUUUAGCAGUGAAAUGCGUAGAGAUGUGGAGGAACACCGAUGGCGAAGGCAGCCCCCUGGGUCAAGAUUGACGCUCAUGCACGAAAGCGUGGGGAGCAAACAGG
rnacentral:rRNA from 1 species